GAUGAACGCUGGCGGCGUGCCUAAUACAUGCAAGUCGAGCGAAUGGAUUAAGAGCUUGCUCUUAUGAAGUUAGCGGCGGACGGGUGAGUAACACGUGGGUAACCUGCCCAUAAGACUGGGAUAACUCCGGGAAACCGGGGCUAAUACCGGAUAACAUUUUGAACCGCAUGGUUCGAAAUUGAAAGGCGGCUUCGGCUGUCACUUAUGGAUGGACCCGCGUCGCAUUAGCUAGUUGGUGAGGUAACGGCUCACCAAGGCAACGAUGCGUACCCGACCUGAGAGGGUGAUCGGCCACACUGGGACUGAGACACGGCCCAGACUCCUACGGGAGGCAGCAGUAGGGAAUCUUCCGCAAUGGACGAAAGUCUGACGGAGCAACGCCGCGUGAGGGAUGAAGGCUUUCGGGUCGUAAAACUCUGUUGUUAGGGAAGAACAAGUGCUAGUUGAAUAAGCUGGCACCUUGACGGUACCUAACCAGAAAGCCACGGCUAACUACGUGCCAGCCGCCGCGGUAA
rnacentral:rRNA from 1 species